CCUACGGGAGGCAGCAGUGAGGAAUAUUGGUCAAUGGGCGCGAGCCUGAACCAGCCAAGUCGCGUGAGGGAGUACUGCCCUAUGGGUUGUAAACCUCUUUUGUCUGGGAGCAAAAGCCGGACGUUUCCGUCCUUGACAGUACCCGAAUAAAAAGCAUCGGCAAACUUCGUGCCAGCAGCCGCCGUAAUACGGAGGAUUCAAGGGUUGUCCGGUUUUAUGGGGUUUAAGGGGUGCGUAGGGGGUCGGAUAAGUUAGUGGUGAAUAUCGAGGCUCAACUUCGGAAUUGCAGCUGAUACUGUUAUGCUAGAGAGUAGUAGCGGUAGGCGGAAUGUAUGGUGUAGCGGUGAAAUGCUUAGAGAUCAUAAAGAACACCGAUUGCGAAGGCAGCUUACUAGGCUACAUCUGACGUUGAGGCACGAAAGCGUGGGGAGCAAACAGGAUUAGAUACCCGUGUAGUC
rnacentral:rRNA from 1 species